AUUGAACGCUGGCGGCAGGCCUAACACAUGCAAGUCGAACGGAGCGGCGGAGUCGUGCGUAUUGCUAAUGAAUCUGCCUGGUACUGGGGGAUAACGUUCAGUAACGGGCGCUGAUACUGCAUACUCUCACAUUCGUCUAGGUCGAAUUAGUGUGUUGGAGGGGUAAAGGCCUACCAGGGCGACGAUCCGUAACUGGUCUGAGAGGAUGAUCAGUCACACUGGAACUGAGACACGGUCCAGACUCCUACGGGAGGCAGCAGUGGGGAAUAUUGGACAAUGGGCGAAAGCCUGAUCCAGCCAUGCCGCGUGUGUGAAGAAGGUCUUCGGAUUGUAAAGCACUUUAAGUUGGGAGGCGUUACCAACAGAAGAAGCACCGGCUAACUUCGUGCCAGCAGCCGCGGUAAUUC
rnacentral:rRNA from 1 species